GAUGAACGCUGGCGGCGUGCUUAACACAUGCAAGUCGAACGAGAAAUGGAGACGGAAACCUUCGGGCGGAAGGCUUCAUUUCGAGUGGCGGACGGGUGAGUAACGCGUGGGUAACCUGCCUCAUACAGGGGGAUAACAGUUGGAAACGACUGUUAAUACCGCAUAAGACCACAGCACCGCAUGGUGCGGGGGUAAAAACUCCGGUGGUAUGAGAUGGACCCGCGUUCGAUUAGCCAGUUGGCGGGGUAACGGCCCACCAAAGCGACGAUCGAUAGCCGAUCUGAGAGGAUGACCGGCCACAUUGGGACUGAGACACGGCCCAAACUCCUACGGGAGGCAACAGUGGGGAAUAUUGCACAAUGGGGGAAACCCUGAUGCAGCGACGCCGCGUGAGUGAAGAAGUACUUCGGUAUGUAAAGCUCUAUCAGCAGGGAAGAAAAUGACGGUACCUGAGGAAGAAGCCCCGGCUAACUACGUG
rnacentral:rRNA from 1 species